UAGUCUUGAUAGGUUCGCUUUGCUCAUUUACAAAUGUCACCAAGCCUGUUCUUUCUUUGUGCAGACUUUCCUAAGAGGAAGAGAACAUGAUUCACUUUAAAUGUGAUCGCAGUCUGGUGCAGCAGAAGCUCAGAACCUGAGGUGACCAAAGCUGAACCUCGGAAGAAAAGGACAUGUCUGUCCAGGGUUAGCGCCUCAAUCUAAACGUAAGGAGUCUUCAACUGAUACUGGUGCUAAAAUGCCAAUCAGUGACGUGCAAACAUGUCAGAUGACCAGAUGUGGACUCGUACGCGCAGUACCGACAAGUACCAGCAGAGGGCGCUGAAAGACCACGAAGAUUUAUCAACACAACAUUUAUGAAAUGCGCGUGUUGCUGCUCCUGCGUGGCUGACGCUGAUUUAACGCUUUAUGGUAUUAUUGACCUUUAGUUUUAAUAGUAAAUUACAAACACGAAAGUUGAGGUUGAUGAAUGUUAUAUUAUUUUGCUUGAGGACUUUUACGACAGUGUCGGUGGUCACUUUGUGUCCAGACGUGGUACAAAUAAGCAGAUGGAGUUUUGUGUCUGGCGGCAGACAUCUGCUUGAGAAAAGAAAACGAGGAAGCAAAAUGGGAGGAUAACGUGACUGCGCUGUGCUGGAGACAUCAGAAAAGACAGACACACACACAAAAAGAAAAAAGACAGAUGGCCUCAAUGUUACUUAGGUACUUAAAUUACUUAGUUACUUACUAACUACUAAGUACUACUUAGUUAGCUAUUAAAUCUACUAUGGUUUCAAAUAAGGAUUAGGAUUUCAAAUUAGGGUUUCAAGACAGGAUUAUGGUUUCAAGUUAAAGUUUCAAACGAGGGUUAGGGUUUUAAAUGUGUUUAUGAUGAGUAUGAGUAAUGAUGAUGAUUGACUUGAAAAGUGCUGGCUUGGCAGCGGAGGAACGUUUUUGAAUUCAACAUUAAAUGCACACAAUUGUGGAGUAUAAAAUCACAGCGUUGCCUCAUCUCAACAUUCGGGCCCCUCACGAUUCUCUGCACGGCAACUCAAUUAGAUUGGCUGUGGAUCACGUGACCUUGGAUGUUGCUAACCGUACUGAAUGAAGUACUCUACUAUCACAGAAAAGUUGUAUGUAUAAAAAAAUGUACUAACAAUCGUUAACGCUCCAGAUGCUCUGGACUGGAUCAUUGCAAAUUUAUAAUAUUGUACUUUUAUUAAAAGAUAACAGAUUAAUAGUUGAGGAAGAAGCAAUUUGCCAAAGAGAGUGGGCGAGGGCGAGAAUAAAAGCGAGACAGUGGAUAUUUUGGAGUCUCCCUUCAUUUGAAUGCUGGUUUUUGGGUGGCUCAUCACGACGGAAACACUUUUUUUUUUGAUCGGCCUGAGCGGCCAUCUUAAUCCAUCCGACACAGCUGCCCGGAUUACCGGCGCACCUUGACCUCCGGCGUUUUGUAUCCCAGCUCUUUCCUGGACAAAAGCCGCCGCCCGCCUCACCUGCCGCUGCGAUGUGCAGAUAAAUGACAAAAUAGGAUAAAACAACAACAAGGGCCAAACGAGCUCUGAUCGCAAUCUGAGAGCGCUUUCAUUACACUAAAACGGUUUCUCAAUGGGACUGUCCACACAAAAUCGUAAAUUAGCGUUUGAAGCCAAGGCUAGGGGGUUUUCAUUUGGACAAAAGGGUUUUGCCGCCAUCUUGUGACAUCUUGGUGUCGAGGAACUAUGUUGAAGUGAGUUCAGGGGUUUCGUUUAGACAAAAAUAGUGCUUUGGCACCAACUUCUGGUAUUUUGGAGUCAAGGAACUUUGUUGAAGUAGUUUUUUUGCCGCCACUCUGUGGGAUCUUGAUGUUAAGGAACUAUGCUGAGGUGAGGAGUUUCAAGGAGUUUAAACACAGAUUAGGGUUUGAAGCCAAGGUUAGGUUAUAAACACUGGUUAUGAGUUCAAACUAUAUUUUCAAGCAUUUCUUCUGCUUCUGCUUUCUGCAGUUUUUUAAAUCUUAUGCUUUCAAAUCAAGGUUUGAAGAUAUGGUAAGCGUGUUGCACACAGGCCAGGGUUUCAAAUUAGGGUUUGAAGCCAAGGUUAGGGUUUUAAACAAAGGUUAGGCUUGGAAAUGAGGGUUUCAAGUCUGGGCUAGGGUUUCAAUGAUGGGUUGUGCUUGAAAUUGAGGAUUGAAUUCAAGGUUAGGGUUCCAAACAGGGAUAAGGGUUUCAAGCCUUUCUUAUGGUUUCAAAUUGGGGUCUGAAGCCACAGUUAAUGUUUACAAUUGGGGUUUCAAGUCUACGUUAUGGUUUUGAACAAAGAUUAGGCUUUCAAAUUUGGUUUAGAAAACGGUUUUAAAGUAUCAAAUUAGGGUUUUUAGUGUGAUAGGGUUUUGAAACUUGAA